rnacentral:rRNA from 1 species
GUCUAUGGCCAUGCCACCCUGAACAGGUGUGAUGUCUGAUCGUGGAAGCUCAGCAGGGUUGGACCUGGUUAGUACUUAGAUGGGAGACCACCUAAGAAGACCAGGUGCUGUAGGCG